UACGGAGGAUGCAAGCGUUAUCCGGAAUGAUUGGGCGUAAAGCGUCCGCAGGUGGCAUUUCAAGUCUGCUGUUAAAUCCUAGGGCUCAACCCUGGAGCUGCAGUGGAUACUGAACAGCUAGAGUUCGGGAGGGGUAGGGGGAAUUCCCAGUGUAGCGGUGAAAUGCGUAGAGAUUGGGAAGAACACCGGUGGCGAAAGCGCUCUGCUAGGCCGAAACUGACGCUGAUGGACGAAAGCGAGGGGAGCGAACGGG
rnacentral:rRNA from 1 species